rnacentral:lncRNA from 10 species
UUGUGAUUGCUGCAAGGCAAAACUAAGGAACUCACCGAUGAAGAUGUUGAACAGGUUAAAGCCAGGCAGGAGGACUGUCAGCGAACAACAGCACCUUAGUCCUCAAGGAAGUUAUUCUUCACAGGGCUGUGGGCAAGAAGAAUGCUUUUGCAGACAACCAGAGUCAUUCCUAGAAGCAAGGACUAUGACAGCAAGCUAAGAUAGUUCUCGUUUGCUGGUUGUAGUG